rnacentral:lncRNA from 1 species
CACUGAGCCAUAAUUUCAUCAUCUUUAAAGUGGAGUUUUCAGGGACUUGGUUAUACUCCAGGAACCAGUGAUGAUAUUGGCUCCUGAUAUCCAGGAAGCUUUGAAGGCCCUGAGACCAGUAACUGGGAUGUUCAGGAAGGAGCUCAGGACUGAGGACAGACCACUGAGAAUAGAAUCCAAAUUGCUCCAAACAGACAUGUUAGAAGCUAGAAGAUUAUGGAAGGGAGACUUCAACAUUCUGAAUGAAAUGAUUCCUGAUGUGGAAUGUCAUAACCAAUGAAAUCAUCAGGAGAGGUUUGCUCUGCCAAGGGAUGUAGUUCCUUUAAAGAAGGGAGAAAACCAAUAAAGAGGAAAAUAUGGAUACAGAAAACUGGGAAUCAAAGAGAGGUGAAGGGGAUCCUAAUGAUGACUUGAAACAGGAAUUAAAAG